AGAGCUCGUAGGCGGUUUGUCGCGUCUGUCGUGAAAGUCCGGGGCUUAACCCCGGAUCUGCGGUGGGCACGGGCAGACUAGAGUGCAGUAGGGGAGACUGGAAUUCCUGGUGUAGCGGUGGAAUGCGCAGAUAUCAGGAGGAACACCGAUGGCGAAGGCAGGUCUCUGGGCUGUAACUGACGCUGAGGAGCGAAAGCAUGGGGAGCGAACAGGAUUAGAUACCCUGGUAGUCCAUGCCGUAGACGUUGGGCACUAGGUGUGGGGACCAUUCCACGGUUUCCGCGCCGCAGCUAACGCAUUAGGUGCCCCGCCUGGGGAGUACGGCCGCAAGGCUAAAACCUCAGAGGAAUUGACGGGGGCCCGCACAAAGCGGCGAGAGCAUGCGGAUUAAUUCGAUGCAACGCGAAGAACCUUUACCACAGGCUUGACAUGUUCUCGAUCGCCGUAGAGAUACGGUUUCCCCUUUGGGGCGGGAUCACAGGUGGUGCAUGGUUGUCGUCAGCUCGUGUCGUGAGAUGUUGGGUUAAGUCCCGCAACGAGCGCAACCCUCGUUCCAUGUUGCCAGCACGUAAUGGUGGGGACUCAUGGGAGACUGUCCGGGGUCAACUNCGGAGGAAGGUGGGGACGACGUCAAAUCAUCAUGCCCCUUAUGUCUUGGGCUUCACGCAUGCUACAAUGGCCGGUACAAUGGGUUGCGAUACUGUGAGGUGGAGCUAAUCCCAAAAAGCCGGUCUCAGUUCGGAUUGGGGUCUGCAACUCGACCCCAUGAAGUCGGAGU
rnacentral:rRNA from 1 species